CUUGAUAAAGUCAUAGUGACAUUACUAUGUAGUUAUAGUGGGGCAAAAAUUAGAAGGAAUCUAUUAGAAAGUUCUCCUGUUUGCUAGAUUACCAAAUCUAAAAAGAAAAUACCAUUGCUUUUACCUCCUAUGUGCCACACUACCUGAGGGAGGAUUUGAUAUGAUCUACAGUGGAAGAUACAAGAUUGAAACUCUAGAGUAUUUAAGCAAGCUGAAGAAACCGCAUUGAAGCUUGAUUUGGACAGGCAUUAAUAUGUUGUUACUUAUGCAGUGAACCACAUCAAGUGCAGUUUCUAUUCAUUAUAAUGUCUAUCAAUAUUGUAUGCUUUGUUUGAGGACUCAGGCUGUGUUACAAAGCUGUUUGUACCAUAACAUUGUUCAUUUCCCUGCCUUUGUAUUGUUAAUAACAGCAGCUAGAUAAAUGCGUGGCCUAGCAAAAUGCCACAUGUUGAAGUUAUCAUUUCUUUGAACCUUAAAGUUCACCUGUUAAGGCAACAUGGAGCAGUUGUAAGUUACUAAUGAAGAGAAUAUGGAUGCACUAAUAUAGGUGAGUGAGUAAUGGGGAUACUUUGUCA